GCUCCUAUCGUCUAGAGGCCUAGGACUCAGGAUUCUCAUUCCUGCAACACCGGUUCGAAUCCGGUUAGGAGUACCA
rnacentral:tRNA from 1 species